rnacentral:rRNA from 1 species
GACGAACGCUGGCGGCGUGCUUAACACAUGCAAGUCGAGCGGUAAGGCCCUUUCGGGGGUACACGAGCGGCGAACGGGUGAGUAACACGUGGGUGACCUGCCCUCAGCUCUGGGAUAAGCCUGGGAAACUGGGUCUAAUACUGGAUAUGACUCCACGGUGCAUGUCGUGGGGUGGAAAGCCUUGUGCGGCUGAGGAUGGGCCCGCGGCCUAUCAGCUUGUUGGUGGGGGAUGGGCCUACCAAGGCGACGACGGGUAGCCGGCCUGAGAGGGCGACCGGCCACACUGGGACUGAGACACGGCCCAGACUCCUACGGGAGGCAGCAGUGGGGAAUCUUG